AUUGAACGCUGGCGGCAGGCCUAACACAUGCAAGUCGAACGAGCGGCGGACGGGUUAUUAAUGUCUGGGAAACUGCCUGAUGGUGGGGGAUAACUACUGGCAACGGUAGCUCAUACCGCAUACCAUCAGAUGUGCCCAGCUGGGAUUAGCUAGUAGGUGGGGUAAUGGCUCACCUAGGCGACGAUCCCUAGCUGGUCUGAGAGGAUGAUCAGCCAGACUGGAACUGAGACGAGGUGCAGACUCCUACGGGAGGCAGCAGUGGGGAAUAUGGCACAAUGGGCGAAAGCCUGAUGCAGCCAUGCCGCGUGGGUGAAGAAGGCCUUCGGGUUGUAAAGCACUUUCAGCGAGGAGGCGUUACUCGCAGAAGAAGCACCGGCUAACUCCGUGCCAGCAGCCGCGGUAAUAC
rnacentral:rRNA from 1 species